UGUAGAUUUGGCCUUGUGUUGUAGGUUAUUGUCCUGCUGAAAGGUGAACUCCUCUCCCAGUGUCUGGUGUAAAGCUCCAUCCUAUUUCUUUGGUGUAAAGCUCCCCAGUAUUUGCCGAUGUCAAGCAUACCCAUACUAUGAUGCAACCACCACUUUGCUUGAAAAUAAGGAGGCAGUUACUCAGUGAUAUGUUGUGUUGGAUUUGCUCCAAGCAUAAAAAAUUACAGGAAAGACUGUUGUUUAAUGCGAGAGCCAAAAGUAGUGGUGUACACCCAGCUUUAUCAACAGCUGUAACAAGUUGUCCAGUGUAAGAAAUCCUCACUGGUACCCUAGAUUAUAGAAAGACCCAAUUGAUGUUCAGGGUGGAUCCUCUGUCUUCAAAAAGUUAUGUUGUAAAUACUACAUUUUCACUCCAUGUCCAUUCUAGACCCACGUCACCAGUCCUCAUCUCUACCACCGUAUCUCUCUAAACCCCAGAAGUAGAGGGUCACUUGGGCAGGAAGUCGUCCACCUCCAGGUUGCCCACGUACCAGAAGAUAAGGCUGAGAAAGAUGAUGAUGGGUCUGGAGAAGACCAAGAGGUCCCAGAACCUGAAGGGAGCAAAGAUGCCCAGGAAGAAAAGGAUGAGGCCUGUAGCGUCCAGGAAGAUGGCUACGAAGAAGAAGAGAAGGCAGCGGCCCAGCUGAGUGUCGGUACAGGUGCUGAGUGUCGGUACAGGUGCUGAGUGUCGGUACAAGGUGCUGAGUGUCGGUACAGGUACAAGUGCUGAGUGUCGGUACAGGUACAAGGUGGCUGAGUAUCGGUCCAGGUGCUGAGUAUAGGUACAGGUGCUGAGUAUGAGUACAGGUGCUGAGUAUAGGUACAGGUGCUGAGUGUAGGUACAGGUACAGGUGCUGAGUAUCGGUCCAGGUGCUGAGUGUAGGUACAGGUGCUGAGUAUAGGUACAGGUGCUGAGUAUAGGUACAGGUGCUGAGUAUAGUUACAGGUGCUGAGUAUCGGUCACAGGUGCUGAAGUAUCGGUCCAGGUGCUGAGUAUCGGUCCAGGUGCUGAGUAUCGGUUCAGGUGCUGAGUAUAGGUACAGAUGCUGAGUAUAGGUACAGGUGCUGAGUAUAGGUACAGGUGCUGAGUAUAGGUACAGGUGCUGAGUGUAGGUACAG